rnacentral:tRNA from 1 species
GGAGGAGUGCCCGAGUGGUUAAAGGGGACGGACUGUAAAUCCGUUGGCUUCGCCUACGUUGGUUCAAAUCCAACCUCCUCCA